GAAGGGAUAGCUCACUGGUAGAGCAUUCGACUGCAGAUCGAGUAGUUCCCGGGUCAAACCCGGAGUCUUCUUUU